AGAGUUUGAUCCUGGCUCAGGAUUAACUUUUGGGGCAUGCCUAAUACAUGCAAGUCGAACGGAAAAUAUAGAAGUGCUUGCACAUUUAUAUUUUUAGUGGCUAACGGGUGAGUAAUAUAUAGAUAACCUACCUUCCAGUUGGGGAUAACAGAGGGAAACUUCUGCUAAUACCGAAUAUGAUAAAGAAACACAAGUAAUUUUAUUGAAAGGGGCUCCAAAGCCCCGCUAGAAGAGGGGUCUAUAUCGCAUUAGCUAGUUGGUAAGAUAACAGCCUACCAAGGCGAUGAUGCGUAGCUGUACUGAGAGGUAGAACAGCCACAUUGGGACUGAGAUACGGCCCAAACUCCUACGGGAGGCAGCAGUAGGGAAUUUUCGGCAAUGGGGGGAACCCUGACCGAGCAAUGCCGCGUGAUUGAAGACGGUCUUCGGACUGUAAAGAUCUGUUAUUAGGGAAGAAUUUUUACUUUAGGAAAUGGAAGUAAAUUGACGGUGCCUAAUGAGGAAGCCCCGGCUAACUAUGUGCCAGCAGCCGCGGUAAUACAUAGGGGGCAAGCGUUAUCCGGAAUUAUUGGGCGUAAAGGGUACGUAGGCGGGCUUGCAAGUCUGAUUUGAAAGCACAUGGCUUAACCAUGUGAGGUAAUUAGAAACUACGAGUCUAGAGAGUGGUAGAGGUAAAUGGAAUUCCAAGUGGAGCGGUGAAAUGCGUAGAGAUUUGGAGGAACACCAGUGGCGAAGGCGGUUUACUGGGCCACAUCUGACGCUGAUGUACGAAAGCGUGGGGAGCAAACAGGAUUAGAUACCCUGGUAGUCCACGCCGUAAGCGAUGAGUGAUAAGUAUCGGGGGAUUUCGGGUGAUUAAGCUAACGCAGUAAGCACUCCGCAUGGGGAGUACGGUCGCAAGACCGAAACUCAAAGGAAUUGACGGGGACUCGCACAAGCGGUGGAGCAUGCGGUUUAAUUCGAUGCAACGCGAAGAACCUUACCAGGUCUUGACAGUGUAAAGAAUACUUAAGAGAUUAAGGGCUA
rnacentral:rRNA from 1 species